GGCCCCGUAGCUCAGCCUGGUAGAGCACUUGACUUUUAAUCAAGGUGUCGCGGGUUCGAAUCCCGUCGAGGUCA
rnacentral:tRNA from 2 species